GCUUUCUUAUCAGAAAUCUGCUUUGUUUGUUUACAUUGUUCAAAUUCAGUGUUUUUCAGCUUUUCUCACGCUGCAAUGUAAUUUCCAGUUUCUAGCAGUCAAAGCCGCGAAUUUUCUGCGCUAGAAUUAAUUCUCCUCACUGUCCACGUAUUCACAAUUUUCUCUUAAACUCCAUUUUGUCCAUUAUCGUCCCAAGUGAAGUUGUACUUACCCACCCUAAAGUUUAACACUGUGUCGUUGAAAGAUUGUGAUCCUCAUUUUUAUAAAGGUUAAUCGUAUUUAAUUUCAUCCAACCAUGUCUGACAUGAAAGAGAAUGUCACGAAGUUAUCUGAUGACAAAGAAAUAAUAAAUGUUCUCUAUGAGAUCUCUCGGCUGCUCAAAACCAAUUUGGAUAAGGAAAGUUUAGUCUGUUGCGUUAAACUGUGCGAAAAUGGUGCAAAUCCAGAGGGAUUGGCACACGCAGUGAAGGAAAUUCGUCAGAGUGUGAAGAACACUAAUAGAAGCAUACAAUCUUGAUGUUAUCAAUUGAGAAGAAAAAUCAGAGCAUGAGUAAGUUCUGGAAAAGCCUCCAAGGAGAGGAGGUGCAGACAGCCUUACGACGUGGACAUGGGUACCUUCGUAGACACUCAGCCAGUUUUCGAUCGCACUCACACAGCCGCUGAUUACACGAAUGCCGCCCAUAUGCUGCGCAGAAACAACAUUGUCAAUAUCUAUUUCAUCAAUUUCCCAAUUUAUCAAAAUAAACUUGUAAAAAUGGUGAUUUAAUUUAAGGUGAAAAAAUAUGUAUAAACUUUUCUUUAAUAAUAGGAGCAAGUCUUUGUGAUAUCCAAAGUAGGUUUUUUCCUACUCUUCUUUAGUUAUUUCCUUGUUUUCUCAAUAGAUUUCAAAAUUAAAUAGCUGGGUCAGCAAGUGACACAAGUAGGAAAUUCAGCCUCUUCAUUCAGGGGGGGGGGGGGAGCCUGGAUUUUUUUCGCCGACAUCACUGUGUACUUAUCAAGAAAUAAUUAAUUUAGAGAAUAAUUGUAUUUUAACACUUUGGCCAUCCAUCUCAUUACGCGAAUUGUGAUGCGCAAGUCUCAGAUUCAGUUUCUUUUUUACAAGCAUAGGUGCAUGGUGACUUGAACUAAAUCCAUCUUGUAUGGAUACUAUUAUUGCAAAUAAUUACUGUUCAUUUCCAGACAAAGAUUAUCAUUGUAAAACCUGUUUGUUCAAUACACUUACACUAAACAUGCUUUGGCCAAUUUUAAGGAUUUUUUCCCACAGACUUUCUUUAGAAGUCUCUAAAAUUAUUUUGAAUAAAACAUGAAUUUGAACAUCCUCCUUUA